AUACGGAGGGUGCAAGCGUUAUUCGGAAUCACUGGGCGUAAAGGGUGCGUAGGCGGUUUGAUAAGUCUGAUGUGAAAUCCUAUGGCUCAACCAUAGAACUGCAUUGGAAACUGUCAGACUAGAAUACUGAAGGGGCAGAUGGAAUUAGUGGUGUAGGGGUAAAAUCCGUAGAUAUCACUAGGAAUACCGAAAGCGAAAGCGAUCUGCUGGGAAGUUAUUGACGCUGAGGCACGAAAGCGUGGGGAGCAGACGGGAUUAGAAACCCUAGUAGUCC
rnacentral:rRNA from 1 species